rnacentral:rRNA from 1 species
GUGGGGAAUCUUGCGCAAUGGGCGAAAGCCUGACGCAGCCAUGCCGCGUGAAUGAUGAAGGUCUUAGGAUUGAAAAAUUCUUUCACCGGGGACGAUAAUGACGGUACCCGGAGAAGAAGCUCCGGCUAACUUCGUGCCAGCAGCCGCGGUAAUACGAAGGGGGCUAGCGUUGCUCGGAAUUACUGGGGGUAAAGGGCGCGUAGGCGGACAGCUUAGUCCGAGGUGAAAGCCCAGGGCUCAACCUUGGAAUUGCCUUUGAUACUGGCUGUCUUGAGUUUGGGAGAGGUGAGUGGAACUCCGAGUGUAGAGGUGAAAUUCGUAGAUAUUCGGAAGAACACCAGUGGCGAAGGCGACUCACUGGCCCAAUACUGACGCUGAGGCGCGAAAGCGUGGGGAGCAAACAGGAUUAGAUACCCCGGUAGUCC